GCCGCGGCUGGAAGCUGUGCGUUCGGUAUUCCGUGCAGCCGUGGCGGAAAGGAUCGUUUCCGCCCCUGGCAGAUGCUCAGUGAGAGAGCCAAGCUCCUGGAGGAAGGGCCUUGCAUGUAUUCACUCGGCGAGAAACUCUCCCGAGACCAGCGCGCCCCCACACGGCUCGGCGGAGGGACGGCCCCUUUGGAGGCGUUCCUCCGCCUGGGGUCCCCCGAGGCUGGUAUCCCAGAAAUACCCCCUUUCACAGAUGGGGAAAACGAAACCCAGAGAGAGGCAGAUGGAACAUGAAACCUUUGAAAGGCUCCAGUGAGAAAUCUGUUCAAACUCCCCGCCAGCUGUGGUCACUUUCAAAGCCACAGAAGCAUCUCCCCAGCGAACCUGCCUCAUACAAGAGAUCCUAAAAAUCUCUGGAAUUUCCUAAGUGAUGAGAGCAGCAAAGGUGUCUUCUGUUAAAUCCUACCCUCAAACUCGGGAGGAGAGGAGGCUGGAGAUGGAGUUCAGUCACCAGUGGCCAGUGAUCUCAUCAGUCCUGCGUAGGUAAUGAAGCCUCCAUAAAAACCCAAAGGACGGGUUUGGAGAGCCCGCAGGCUGGUGUGCACUGGAUGUGCUGGGAGGGAGGUGCGCCCUUUCUCCACACCUUGUCCUGUGCGGCUCUUCUGAGGCUAGUCCUGAGUUAUAUCCAUUCAUAAUAAACCAGUAACAUAGGAAGUAAA